GAUGAACGCUGGCGGCGUGCUUAACACAUGCAAGUCGAACGAUGACGCCCAGCUUGCUGGGUGGAUUAGUGGCGAACGGGUGAGUAACACGUGAGUAACCUGCCCUUAACUCUGGGAUAAGCCUGGGAAACGGGGUCUAAUACCGGAUAGGAGCGCCUACCGCAUGGUGGGUGCUGGAAAGAUUUAUCGGUUUUGGGUGGUCUGGCGGCCUAUCCGCUUGUUGGGGUAGUAUGGGCCAACGAAGGCGACGGCGGGGAGCCGGCCUGGGAAGGUGACCGGCCACACUGGGACUGAGGGACGGCCCAGCCUCGUACAGGAGGCAACAGUGGGAAAUAUUGCCCAAUGGGCCCAAGCCUGAUGCAGCGGCGCCGCGUGAGGGAUGACGGCCUUCGGGUUGUAAACCGCUUUCAGUAGGGAAGAAGCGAAAGUGACGGUACCUGAAGAAGAAGCACCGGCUAACUACGUG
rnacentral:rRNA from 1 species